AGCAGCCGCGGUAAUUCCAGCUCCAAUAGCGUAUAUUAAAGUUGUUGCAGUUAAAAAGACUCGUAGUUGAAUUUCGGGGUUAGUAGGUUGGUCAUGCCUCUGGUAUGUACUGGUCUCACUGAUUCCUCCUUCCUGAUGAACUGUAAUGCCAUUAAUUUGGUGUUGCAGGGAAUCUGGACUGUUACUUUGAAAAAAUUAGAGUGUUUAAAGCAGGCUAACGCCUGAAUACAUUAGCAUGGAAUAAUGAAAUAGGACGUUCGAUCCUAUUUUGUUGGUUUCUAGGAUUGACGUAAUGAUUAAUAGGGAUAGUUGGGGGCAUUAGUAUUCAAUUGUCAGAGGUGAAAUUCUUGGAUUUAUUGAAGACUAACUACUGCGAAAGCAUUUGCCAAGGAUGUUUUCAUUAAUCAAGAACGAAAGUUAGGGGAUCGAAGACGAUCAGAUACCGUCGUA
rnacentral:rRNA from 1 species